GGGUGAGUAACACGUGGGAACGUGCCCUUUGGUUCGGAACAACUCAGGGAAACUUGAGCUAAUACCGGAUGUGCCCUUCGGGGGAAAGAUUUAUCGCCAUUGGAGCGGCCCGCGUCUGAUUAGCUAGUUGGUGAGGUAAAGGCUCACCAAGGCGACGAUCAGUAGCUGGUCUGAGAGGAUGAUCAGCCACAUUGGGACUGAGACACGGCCCAAACUCCUACGGGAGGCAGCAGUGGGGAAUCUUGCGCAAUGGGCGAAAGCCUGACGCAGCCAUGCCGCGUGAAUGAUGAAGGUCUUAGGAUUGUAAAAUUCUUUCACCGGGGACGAUAAUGACGGUACCCGGAGAAGAAGCCCCGGCUAACUUCGUGCCAGCAGCCGCGGUAAUACGAAGGGGGCUAGCGUUGCUCGGAAUUACUGGGCGUAAAGGGAGCGUAGGCGGACUGUUAAGUUAGAGGUGAAAGCCCAGGGCUCAACCUUGGAAUUGCCUUUGAUACUGGCAGUCUUGAGUACGGAAGAGGUAUGUGGAACUCCGAGUGUAGAGGUGAAAUUCGUAGAUAUUCGGAAGAACACCAGUGGCGAAGGCGACAUACUGGUCCGUUACUGACGCUGAGGCUCGAAAGCGUGGGGAGCAAACAGGAUUAGAUACCCUGGUAGUCCACGCCGUAA
rnacentral:rRNA from 1 species